rnacentral:rRNA from 1 species
GACGUAGGGGGCGAGCGUUGUCCGGAAUCAUUGGGCGUAAAGCGCGUGUAGGCGGCCAGAAAAGUCCGCUGUGAAAACUCGAGGCUCAACUUCGAGCUGUCGGUGGAAACUUUCUGGCUAGAGUCCGGAAGAGGAGAAUGGAAUUCCUGGUGUAGCGGUGAAAUGCGCAGAUAUCAGGAAGAACACCCGUGGCGAAGGCGGUUCUCUGGGACGGUACUGACGCUGGAGACGCGAAAGCGUGGGGAGCGAACAGG